GUUUACAGCCAUACCACCCUGAACACACCCCAUCUCAUGAUCUGGAAGUUAAGCAGGGUCAGGUCUGGUUAGCACUUGGAUGGGAGAAACCUAUGACCAGGAGAAGGGGCCUAGGUGAUUGUGGUGG
rnacentral:rRNA from 1 species